AGUUCUCUUCAAGCACUUCACGAGGCAUCACACUGAGAGCUUUUGUGAAGUGUUUGGGGGAACUCUUGGUGUCACAAAUCAUUUGCAUUUGCUUGAUGUUAGUCAUGCACCAUGUGAUAUGAGAUAAAGGACAUGGCAACGUUUUGUGUUACUAGGAGUUCCCUACAAGCACUUCAUGAGACCUUGACUUAAUAAAGGGCCAUUGUGAAGUGUUUGGGUGAACUCU